rnacentral:ncRNA from 1 species
UAAUUCCUUAAUUUAGGUUUUAAUAUUAAUUCUGUAUUUCUAAAAGUCAAAGUUAAAGUUUGAUUUAAUCUUCAAAAUUAGUUUUUUAAUAAGUUUAUAUGUUUUAUAUUUAAAUUAUAUUUUUCAGUAAAAAGUAUUUUUAAAUGUUUUUAAUUUCAUUGAGUUAUUUAAUUAAUUUGGACAAAUAUUGUGCCAGCAGUUGCGGUUAUACAAUUCAAUUAAAUUAAUUUUUUAGUUUUUAUUAUUAAGUUUUGAUUUAAAUUAACUAAAAUUAGGUGAAAUUUUUUUUUUUAUUAAAUUCUAUUUUUAAUUAUUAUUAAGUUUUAAUUUUAAAUUAGGAUUAGAUACCCUAUUAUUCAUUUAUUUAAUUAUUUUCGUGGUAUUAAUAGUUAUGUUCUAUUAAAUUUAAAUGAUUUGGCGGUAAUUUAUAUUUAGGGGAACCUGUAAUUUAAUUGAUAAACCACGAUAUUUUUUACUUAAUAUUUAUUUGUAUAUCUCUAUAAUUUAAAUUUAUUUAAAGAUAGAUUUAUUCUUUUUUGAAAAGUGUUAGGUCAAGGUGCAGUUAUUUAAUUAAGUUGUUAUGGGUUACAUUAAAUAUUAAUUUCUUGGAUUUUAAUAAAUUAUUAUUAUUUAAAAUAGGAUUUAAUAGUAAAAUUAAAUUAUUAUUUAAUUUGAAUUUAAAUUAAAUUAUGUACAUAUUGCCCGUCGCUCUCAUUUAACUUGAGAUAAGUCGUAACAAAGUAAUUGUACUGGAAAGUGUAAUUAGAU